rnacentral:ncRNA from 1 species
AAGAGUUUGAUUCUUGCUCAAUUAUUAAUUAAUUAAAAGUUUUUAUAUGCCUAUGUUAAUAGAAUUUAUUUUUUAGCAGUAAUUAGUAUUUUAUUAUAUUUAAAAAUUUUAUUGAGCUAUUUAAUUUAAAUAGAUUAAUAUUGUGCCAGCAUUCGCGGUUAAACAAUAUAUUUAAUUUAAUAUUUUUGGUCAUGUAAUUUUAUUGUUAUUUAUUGAGAUUAAAUAUUAUGUAUUUAGGUGGAAUUUAUACAUAAGUAUAUUUUCGUGAUUUAAAUUUACGAAAUCUUUUUAUUAAACUAGGAUUAGAUACCCUAUUAUUUUAGAUUUAAAUUAUAUUUGAUUCAGAGUACUAAAAGUUAUGUUCUUUAAAAUUCAAAGAAUUUGGCGGUAAUUUAUUUCUUUUUAGAGGAACCUGUAAUUUAAUUGAUAAACCACGAUAUAUUUUACCUUAAUUUUAUUUGUAUAUCUCUAUGUAAGAAUAUUUUUAGAGAAUUAUAUUUUCUUUUUCUUUUAAAGAUUAAUAUUAGGUCAAGGUGCAGUUUUAUUAAGGUUAUUAUGGGUUACUUUAAUUGUUUUAUUAUUUUGGAUUUUUAGUAUACUUACACUAUUAUGAAAAUGGAUUUAAUAGUAAUUUUAAUAAAUUAAUUAUUUUGAAUUAAGCUCUAUAUUGUGUACAUAUCGCCCGUCACUCCUAAUUUAUAUUAGGAUAAGUCGUAACAUAGUAGUUGUACCGGAAGGUGUAGCUAGAAUGGUA